UACCUGGUUGAUCCUGCCAGUAGUCAUAUGCUUGUCUCAAAGAUUAAGCCAUGCUUGUGUAAGUAUGAACUAUUUCAAACUGUGAAA
rnacentral:rRNA from 1 species